GACGUGUGUUCUGUGUGCUCUAGCGCUUAGCGAAUUUCAACAUUCGAUUACUGUGGUAAUCUUUUGAUAUUGCUUUCAAAGUCUGGGUUCUUGCAGGCUGCCGGGGUCCCGGUCAAGGAUCUACAAAUAUGGCAGCGCCAAACUUCUGUCCAACGAAAAUUCUCGCGUUCAACGUCAGGUCACCAUUAGAAGCGUCCUUGAUCGACGUCACUGAUGCAGUUGCUGAAGUACAGGGUGUAUGCUAUAAAAGGGGAGGAUUCACUAUACAUGCAGCGAGCAUGCGGGAUACGACGGCGGACGUAGCUACGCUGUGGUACGUUCACGAAAGCCAAGCCGAACGACACCAUGGACGAAGAUUCGGAAUCGGAAUAUUCAAACACAGACGAAGAUUAUUCGCAGCGAUAGCUUCAUGUGGGACGGUUCUGUGCGUGUGAGACGCGUAUUCGCUACAGAGGACGAUUCUCCGUUUUCUAUCGAUGCUCGUCCAGCUGACAACGCGAGGCUCACGGGUAUUUCCUCAAGGUCCUGCUGCACAGACCCGGUCAUUCCUCUUUCACUUAGUCACCAACCUGUGUUAGUCAUGACAAAAGCGCAUGCGCUGCUCUCUUUCCCUUGUACAUAACCCUCUCCCAUAUAUAUAGCUUGUUAUUUUCACCAAACCCCAGCCCCGUCGAAGGCAGCGCUGACUGCCGAA